UUAAAAAAUGAGGAGCUACUGCUUUUCUUCAUCCCUGACCUAAAUAAAUAAAGAGGCAACUUAAUAGCAUGGUAUAGUGCAGUUUUGGCAAAUACUUUCUGUAAAGGGCCAGAUAUUUUAAAUUUUUACACUUAAACAUUUUAACCUUUGUGGGCAUGAGAAAAACGUGAGAAACAUGAGAAAAUGACCAGCUAGACCUAGGGACAGUCUACAGUACACAGUCUCUGGUGUAACUAUUCAAGUUGGCCAGUGUAUCGUGAGAGCAGCUAUAGGCAAUAUGUAAAUUGCCUUUUGCAAUUUAGCAACUUCUGGUGGCCCCUAGACAGCUUCAGGAUGGGGCUGGUUGCCAAAGGAACCAACCGUGUAAUUAGAGAGGAAAGCUGUGUUCCAGUAAGCUUAUGGACACUGAAAUUUGAAUUUAAUGUAAUUUUACGUGUCAUGAGAUAUUAUUCUUUUGAUUUUUUUCCCCAAACGUUUAAAACUACAGCCCUUAUAAAAGCAGGUGCUGGGAUAGAUUUGGCCCCCAGACCAUUGUUUGUCGACUCCUGGUAGAGUGGAAGAAACUCAGAACAAGGAGUCAGAAGCUGUGCCUUCCAAUUCUGGUUUUACUACUUUUUAGUUUUGACAUAAUCAUUUCACUUCUAACCUCCAUUUCCCUAUCUGAAAAAUGAAUAUGGAAAGAUGGGAAACAGUAACUUGAGAGUAGAGAAAGCCGGCAGACACUACUCCAGUCAGGUGGUCAUGGUCAGCAUCAUCAGGGCUAAGGUAGGUGGUCAUGGUCAGCAUCAUCAGAGCUAAGUUGUCAUGAUAGAAUAAGAAAUAUUUGGUCUUUGUCCCUGGUUUCUGACACAGAACUUGUAUAACCCUUGGAAUGUCCUAAGUGACAGGCAUAAUAGGAUUAUUUUCUAUUAUUCAUAACAAGCCCCUUCAGCCUUACCUGAGGUUCUGCUAAUGAGAUGAUUUUUGGUAGGCCCAUAGAUAGCUUCACGAUGGGGCUGGUUGCCAAAGGAACCAACCAUGUUAAUUAAAGAGUGGAACUUUCAGGGCCACUGGUAUGAUUUGGCUGUGUCCCCACCGAAAUCUCAUCUUGAAUUGUAGUUCCUACAAUUCCCACAUGUUAUGGGAAGAAUCCAGUGUAAGGCAAUUGAAUCAUGGGAUGGGUCUUUCUCAUGCUGUUCUCAUGAUAGUGAAUAAUUCCCAUGAGAUCCAAUGGUUUUCUAAAGAGGAGUUCCCUGCACCAGCUGUUUCUUGCCUGCCACCAUGUAAGAUGUCCCUUGUUCUUCUGCCAUGAUUGUGAGGCCUCUCCAGCCAUGUGGAACCAUGAAUCAAUUAUACCUCUUCCCUUCAUAAAUUACACAGUGUCAGGUAUGUCUUUAUUAGCAGCAUAGAGCCACCCUUCCUUCAGGGAGGGGUAAAGGGGUCAAGAUUGAGUUAAUCACCAGUGGCCAAUGAUGGAAUCAAUCAUACCUCUGUUAUGGAGGCUCCAUUAAAAAACACUGGAGGACAGUGUUCUGAGGGUUCCAGACUGAUGAAUGCAUCCAUGUACCAGGAGUGGGGUGCAUCCCAACCCCGCAGGGAUGGAAGCUUAUGCACUCUGCCCCUUCUGGACCUCAUCCCGUGUGCUUCUUCCUUGAGUGUUCAUGUGUAUCCUUUAUAAUAAACAAGUAAGAGUAGUAUAGUCUUCUCCUUAGUUCUGUGAGCCCUGAGAAGGGAGUUUUAGGACUCCCCUGACCCCCAAUUUAUAGCCAGUCAGAAGUAUAGAGGGCCCAGAACUUGCAACUGGUGUCUGAAAUGGGGCAGUCUUGUGGGGCUCUAUGUUCACUCUGGGUAAUUAGUGUCAGAACUGAAUUGAAUUGAAUUACAGGAUACCUGGCUGCUGUCCAGAAAACUGGAGAAUUAGUUGGCGUGAGGAAAAAUCACCACAUUUGGUGUUAGAAGUGUUGUGAGUGAAACAGUGGAGAGCCACAUUGACAGCAUGCACCCUUGAUAGGCUUUGCUGAAAAUGGCAGCCCAGCCCUGUGGUCAUCCUCCAGAAAAGCCAUUGACACCAGUUCAAACAUGAGGAAAAGACCAGGUAGAACUAGGGACAGUAUACAAAAUACCUGAUCGCUGUUCCUCAAAACUGACAGGCCAUCAAAAACAAGGCAAGUAUGAACUCCAGUCACAAAACAAGGAGACAGGAUUAAACAUGACAUGGGAUCCUGGAUGUGGGAUCUUGGGAGAGAAAAAGGACCUUAGGGAAAACCUGGUAACAUCUGAAUAAAGUGUGGCAUUUAGUUAAUCGUCACGUGUUGGUGUUGGUUCCUUCAUUGUGACAAAACUCCCGUGGUAAUGUAAGAUGUUCACAUUGCAGGGACUUAGGUUAGCAGAAGAGGUGAACUUUGCAACCUUGCUAUCAAUCUAAAACUGUUCUACAAUAAAAGCUUUACAGUAAAAAACCACUAAGAAAAAUCUCUAGGAUUUGGCAGUUGAUUAGGUAAGGAGGGCAAGGGAGAAGGAGAAAUAAAGAUUUUGUCAAAGUCUGGCCUGAUUACCUUGCAAGUUAGCUAUGCUAGUGGACAGAAGUAACUGACUGUAGGAGGCGUUCUGGCUUGCAAUAGGAAGUAUGAAGUUGUGGUGCUAGGGAUGUAUCCAUGAAUGCGAUGUACUGUUUAACAGUUUAAAGUAAUACAAAUGCCCAGAAAGGGCUUUUGGGUUUUAGAUGUUUUGUUUAAAAUGACCUCUAGCCUCACAGCAUUUGGCAUUUAAAUUCUAAUUUAAGAAAGAAAGAUGAACUGGAUUAAAAAUAAAAUAGUGAUUGAACUUUGUAUAAAUAGCUGGACUCCUCCUCAUGUAUCUAUGUUUCUACGGGAGUAAAUUUAUCUUUAUGUCGUUAAUGCAUUGCUGGAGCUUGCAGUAGCUAGCAGCCCCUCUUUAUUUGCAGAAGGACUUAGAGUCACGUUGCCAAGUGAAACAUGAUGUAAGUGACUCAGCAGCAAGAGCCAGCCUUUUUUCUUUAGCUAGAAGUGCUAGAUGUGUUGACCCAAAUAUACUGAAGAGCAUGUUUUGUUUACUUCAGACAAGAAGUAAAAGCUUUGUUUGAGUCAUUCCUUUUUCUAUCUAUCCUAUUUAUAUUUUACAGCCAGCACUGCCUCAAAAAUGUACACAGCCAUUCAUCAGAGGCCUGCAAUGUCUGCCAUGCCUUAACAAUAUAUGACAUGUGUGAAAUUUAUCAAUGUAGAUAAAACCACAGGCAAGACCUCACGCCUGCAUAGGUCAUGAACGGGUCUUCACCAAAGAAGAAAUUCAGGUGGCAGUCCAUGUGCAAACAAAAUUAAACUUUGUGAGUAACAAGAGAUAUAUAAUUAAACUUGUGAAGAUAGCAAAGAAAUACAGGAGCCAGUGCUGGCAAGGGAAUGAGGAAGAGUGCACUGGCAGGAAUAUAGAGCAACGUAAUUUAGGGGGAGGGAAGCUUGAAAUAUAUAGUCCAGAUUUUAAAAUGUAUUUAACCUUUGUUUCAGUCACUACACUUCUAGAGACUAUCCUAAGGGAACAGGCAUAUAAAGAGAGGUGAAAAGAAUGAUGAUCUAAGCAUUGUUUAAAAUAGUAAAGCACUGUGAUAACAUCCAACAACAAGACAGACACUAGUUAGCUUCAGUGUUGUAGAUGUAGCUAUUGUAAUAGAAAGACUUGCAUUCAGUUUUUGGAAAAACUUCUUUCAAAAUGCAUUCGUAUAGUCCAGUUUAUACAAAAGGUGUGUGUGCAUGCAUGCUUCUAAAAGAACAUAUGUUACAUUUUAACUGCUUUUAAACUGUAAAUGAAAAUAAAAAUGUUUUCAUUCUAAACCACAAUGUGGACUCUCAGCGCUAAAUUCUGAGUGACGUAAGCUGUCCUUCUCUCAUAAAUUACUAUUAUUUUUGUAGAGCCUAAAACAUGUACCCAUCACCACCCAUAUGCUCCCUCUCCAAAAUAAUCCUGACUUUCUUAAAUAAAAAUUAUAGCUCAUCCUAAAUUAUUGAGAAAGAAUUUUCACUCAGUGUGAAGAACCUAGAGCUGUGUUAUAGAGAAGCCAGCUAACAGUUAUUGCUGCUUAGUUUUAUUUUAUGCUACGGUAGUUAACCAAAACAGUGCUUCAUAAAAAACACUAUACUUACAAAUACAGGGUGAAAAAGAGGAUUUCAGUGAGAAAGUGGGAUUUUCUUCACUUUGAUUUCAUUAAUUUACAUCUUGCCUCUUUCCAAAUGUAUUUAAAGUACCUAGAUCAUGUGCUAAACAUAAAAAAGGGCUCACACACAUGAACUAACCCACUGCACCAUCACACUGCCCCCAGGCUAGUAUGAUAAAAGGCAGGGAUGAUAAAAGGCAGAACAUAUUUCCAAAGACACUCAAGAUCUCUGAACUAGAGACUUCACCUUUAACACAUGAAUGAAAUGACUCAAAAAUCAUCUUUCUUCCAAAGUCAAUUGAAAACCAGUGUGGCCAUGUAGUUCAGAUCAGCCCAGGGGCAGAGCUUGAGAAGAAGAGCUGACUGUAGCCAGCAGGGGCCCUAAGUAAAUAAGGCUUCAUGUAACCAUAUACAGCCUGACAAGAGUAGUAGAAGAAAGGAAAAGGGGUGACCAAGGGGAAAGCGUUUAGAGGGCAUCUGCUCUUUGCCAAGCACUAAACUGAAAUGCUUAUUGUGUGCUGUCUCAUGCAGUAAGCUGCAGGCAUAUUCUAAUGUUCAGAUAGGAGUUUGAUCUAAAUAUUUCUAAAUAAAUCAGUCUUCUUCCUGAUGAUACCCUUACCAGCUGCUUGCCGUGGACCGCCAUCUCCAGAUCUGCCAGUCACCCAGCUAGCUGUUAAUUAUCCCAGAUUUCCCCUCCUCCCACCACUCUUGAGUAUCUCAUCAGCCACUUCUUAAACUGCCUGCCGCAGCCACAGUGAGGAGAGCUUGGGAUUAUUUGAAGAGAUCCACCAGAUACCUUGGAUUUCAGAGCCAGACUUGUGAGCAGGACUUCACUUUAGUCUUCCUCAUUGGUAUCUGCCUUUUUCCAGAAAGGAUUUGAAGUACCAAAAUCUUCCAACAGAAUGUGCGCCGUGAGACGUUUUGUAAGAGAGAGAAAUUUUACCAACUCUACGUAGAGGGGGCAGUAUAUACAAAAGCAAAACAAAGUGAACAAAGGAAAGAAAAGAAAUGUCCCACUAUGGUGGGAAUGAGCAACAGGAGAUGGGGAGAAAGACUGAGCACAGUUGCUCCUGGGAGUGGAGCUCCUUAUGAUGCGUUAGUGAUUCAGUAGGUGACACCUAUGAAGGGUGAUCACAGCUUUGUGGAAAGAGGUUUGUCUCUGAGCUUUUCCCAGUGCCUGGUAGGCUUCUUCUGUAUUAGGACAACUUCACACCAAGAUUCCUUCCAGAACCUUGAGCCUACUUAAUCCCAUCCCCAUUAUUUCUGCCAUGCUGAGCUACACAUACGAUGUCAACCUCUUUUAUGCUAACAUCCCCUUCUUG